ACGGGUGCGUAACGCGUGGGAAUCUGCCCUUAGGUUCGGAAUAACAGUUGGAAACGACUGCUAAUACCGGAUGAUGACGUAAGUCCAAAGAUUUAUCGCCUGAGGAUGAGCCCGCGUAGGAUUAGCUAGUUGGUGUGGUAAGAGCGCACCAAGGCGACGAUCCUUAGCUGGUCUGAGAGGAUGAUCAGCCACACUGGGACUGAGACACGGCCCAGACUCCUACGGGAGGCAGCAGUGGGGAAUAUUGGACAAUGGGCGCAAGCCUGAUCCAGCAAUGCCGCGUGAGUGAUGAAGGCCUUAGGGUUGUAAAGCUCUUUUACCCGGGAUGAUAAUGACAGUACCGGGAGAAUAAGCUCCGGCUAACUCCGUGCCAGCAGCCGCGGUAAUACGGAGGGAGCUAGCGUUGUUCGGAAUUACUGGGCGUAAAGCGCACGUAGGCGGCUUUGUAAGUUAGAGGUGAAAGCCUGGAGCUCAACUCCAGAAUUGCCUUUAAGACUGCAUCGCUUGAAUCCAGGAGAGGUGAGUGGAAUUCCGAGUGUAGAGGUGAAAUUCGUAGA
rnacentral:rRNA from 1 species